rnacentral:rRNA from 1 species
AUUGAACGCUGGCGGCAUGCUUUACACAUGCAAGUCGAACGGCAGCACGGGUGCUUGCACCUGGUGGCGAGUGGCGGACGGGUGAGUAAUACAUCGGAACGUAUCCAGAAGAGAGGGAUAACGCAUCGAAAGAUGUGCUAAUACCGCAUAUUCUCUGAGGAGGAAAGCAGGGGAUCGAAAGACCUUGCGCUUUGGGAGCGGCCGAUGUCUGAUUAGCUAGUUGGUGGGGUAAAGGCCUACCAAGGCGACGAUCAGUAGUUGGUCUGAGAGGACGACCAGCCACACUGGGACUGAGACACGGCCCAGACUCCUACGGGAGGCAGCAGUGGGGAAUUUUGGACAAUGGGGGAAACCCUGAUCCAGCCAUGCCGCGUGUGUGAAGAAGGUCUUAGGAUUGUAAAGCACUUUAAGUUGGGAGGAAGGGCAGUUAACUAAUAUUUGACUGUUUUGACGUUACCGACAGAAUAA